GACGAACGCUGGCGGCGUGCUUAACACAUGCAAGUCGAACGGAAAGGCCCUGCUUUUGUGGGGUGCUCGAGUGGCGAACGCGUGAGUAACACGUGAGUAACCUGCCCUUGACUUUGGGAUAACUUCAGGAAACUGGGGCUAAUACCGGAUAGGAGCUCCUGCUGCAUGGUGGGGGUUGGAAAGUUUCGGCGGUUGGGGAUGGACUCGCGGCUUAUCAGCUUGUUGGUGGGGUAGUGGCUUACCAAGGCUUUGACGGGUAGCCGGCCUGAGGGGGUGACCGGCCACAUUGGGACUGAGAUACGGCCCAGACUCCUACGGGAGGCAGCAGUGGGGAAUAUUGCACAAUGGGCGGAAGCCUGAUGCAGCAACGCCGCGUGCGGGAUGACGGCCUUCGGGUUGUAAACCGCUUUCGCCUGUGACGAAGCGUGAGUGACGGUAAUGGGUAAAGAAGCACCGGCUAACUACGUG
rnacentral:rRNA from 1 species